CCACUCGGUCUAUGUAUUCUGUUAUGGCAACCACAGCAGACUAAUACAAAAGCCUAAGGACAGGGCUUCAUGGUGAGCCUCAAGGAAAGGAGAGGAACCAGCAGAGGAAGUGAGGCCUGCAGAAUGAACCUCUAAGCCCUGGGCUGUGAGACGGGGCUCAUGAAGCUAACUGCCAGCAGUGAAGAUGCAGUCUGCUGGGGGAGAAGAACAGGUGCCAAAGGGUAGAGCAACGUGGAAAAUAGCCACAUAAUUUUCUACUUUAAGUGGGGCCAAACCUCACAGCUUAUCCUAGCAGCUCUAAAGGGCAAAUGCCACACAGUUCCCUCACAACGGCUGCAUUCUGACCCAGGAGAACCAGCCCAACUCCAGAACAGCUCUCAGAUGCUGUGGAUCUAAGACGGCUGGCUCACAUGAAGGGACACGGAGGAAGCAAGAGAACCACAAGAUGGGAAGGAAAACUGUUGCCAACAGAACACAAAGGAAGAACCCUCCAGAGUCUCACAGGCAAAUGUGUGAGGCUCUCUGACCACCACAACUCUGUGGUUCCAGGGGUUUCCAAGAGACUGCUCUGGGUUCCUCACAUCAACAGGCACACCGCAGCUGAGAAAACACACAUGACGGGAACCACCAGGGAUUGGGGUGUAAUUUAUGGAAACAGCCAAGGUCUCUGAAUCUGUGACUGUGACAUACGGGCUCCGAGGAUUCUCUCCUGAUAAUUUGGAAAUGACAUGCAAGUACUUCCUUGCUCAUUAGCCAGCCAGAUACUGAGUCAGAAACAGCACAGCAGCCAAGACUGGGUGCUCUGCAGCCACACUGCCCAAGUUUCAGUUCCGAUUCAGUGUGAACUCCGUGUUCUUUGUCAAGUCAUCAUCAUCUCUCUGCCUCCUUUGUCUUCACAUGUAUUGUGAUGGCAACACCACCACUUGCCUCAUGGAGAUGCUAUGAAGGUUAAAAUUGUGACAGGCUCCCAGGACCUAAACCCAGAAGGAAGCAGGACCACAUUUCUGCCCAGAGAAGGGGACGGAGCAGAUUCCAGGACACCGAUCAAACAGAAGCUUCCAUCACAGUGCCCUUUGCUACCUUAUGAGACAGUUCGCAUCUCAACAGCUCUAGGAUACAAAGCAAGCACAUAUAUUUAUAAGUUGGCCAAGGAAUCCUACUGUGAAUAAAGAAUUUCUAUGA